AGAACUCUUUUUCCGACAUGGAAACUAAGCGGGGGGAAAAGGAAGAAAGUUGUAAAAGUUUGGAGUGAUGAAUCAUCGAAAGCGAAAGAAGGGGAGAGUUAGAAGCAGAGAUACAGAGAAAUGGCGGC
ensembl:ncRNA ZK757.7 ncRNA